GUAGUCACCCGGGUUGCCGCAAGGCCUCUCGGGUAACCUACCACCCUUUGUUUAUUACACUUUGUUGCUUUGGCAAGCCUGCCCUCGGGCUGCUGGCUCCGGCCGGCGAGCGCUUGCCAGAGGACCUAAACUCUGUUUGUCUAUAAUGUCUGAGUACUAUAUAAUAGUUAAAACUUUCAACAACGGAUCUCUUGGUUCU
rnacentral:misc_RNA from 1 species